UACGUAGGUCCCGAGCGUUGUCCGGAUUUAUUGGGCGUAAAGCGAGCGCAGGUGGUUUAUUAAGUCUGGUGUAAAAGGCAGUGGCUCAACCAUUGUAUGCAUUGGAAACUGGUAGACUUGAGUGCAGGAGAGGAGAGUGGAAUUCCAUGUGUAGCGGUGAAAUGCGUAGAUAUAUGGAGGAACACCGGUGGCGAAAGCGGCUCUCUGGCCUGUAACUGACACUGAAGCACGAAAGCGUGGGUAUCGAACAGG
rnacentral:rRNA from 1 species